AAAGAUUCUCCCAAAGGUGGUCUGGUCCAACAUCCUCUUUCUUGAACCUUUGACUUUCCUGGGUACUGAGAUUGGAGCCAACGUUCAGCCAUGAAGGCUUUUUACCUUCUCCUGCUUGUUGUCUUCUUGGCUUUCCGGGUUGAGAGCAACCCAAAACCAACAACUCAGGCGGAUGUAAAGGUCCCUGAAGGUCCUGCUAUUCAAGCUGAUGACAAGAACCUUAAGGAUGAACCAGCUGGAAAGUUUCGGGCAAUCCUAAUAACUUGCUUUGAAGGGGCCGGAUAUUGUCUACCCCGGCAAUAUUUCUGUGCUCUUGGUUCAGUGUUCAAGGAGGAAUACAAUGACUGCCCCCAAAAGGAUCAAAUCAAAUGCUGCGUGGGACGUAUAACUGGCUAAGAUGCUGAAAUCUUUGGGAAGAAUUGAUUCAGGAUUCUUCAAUUAACAAGAACAACCUGUUGUUCAACAUUCAAUAAAUUGUCUACGCAUUGCA